GGGGUUGUGGCUCAAUGGUAGAGUGCAUGCCUAGAAUGUGUGGGACAUCAGGUUUGAUUCCCAGCACCA
rnacentral:tRNA from 1 species